GUCCCUGUAACGCGAUGGAUAGCGUGUUAGACUUUUAAUCCAAAGGUUGUGAGUUCAAUUACCACCUGGGAUG